CAGACACGGCCUGCUGGGGCUGGGUCGGGGUCUAACAUCAGGAAGAAAUAUUCCGCCUGAAAUGGCCGCGCGAAGCAAGGUCUUCUGCGCAGCCGACAUAAAUCCCUUGCCCCGGCUGCUGUUUGCUCAGACCUGGGGUCAGCUGGGCUUGAGAUCCGGAGGAACCCAAGCUCCUGGGC